UACGGCCACGUCCUGUUGAAACACCAGUUUGCAUACAAACACAGAAGUUAAGCAACAUCAAACCUGGUCAUUACCUAGAUGGGUGACCGCUUGGGAAUACUAGAUGCUGUAA